rnacentral:tRNA from 1 species
GGAGAGGUGCCAGAGCGGCCGAUUGGGCCGGUCUCGAAAACCGGUGUGGCGGCAACGUCACCGAGGGUUCGAAUCCCUCCCUCUCCG